rnacentral:rRNA from 1 species
UACCACUUUUAUAGGUGGGUACUAUAGACACCCUCCAACCACACACAUUAUUCAAACCCUAAACAAACAAAGUUAGUUUACGGGUGGGUGCGGUGCGUUCCUUCGUUCCUUCGUUUGGCAGGCAGGGAUAGGUAGGUAGGAGAAGAAGAAGAAGAGGAGACGAAACGAAGUUACGGUUCGGUAGGAGCCUAGCGAAGAGAGGAGAGGAGAGGAGAGCGGCCGCUGCUGAGAGGCAAGAAGUGGGGCGCGUCCAUUCUGUAGAAACAGCACCGAGAACAAAGAACACGAGCGAGUACCUAGGUAGGUACCUAAGGUACAUGAUCAGGAGAACACAUAUUAGACUGACGUCCUUCUUCUUCCUCUUUCUUUCUUUCUUUUACCGCCUGUCGCCGCCGCCGCCGCUGACCCUCCACCACAGCGAGUGCCGGAGGUGGAUGCGGCGGCGCGGCCCUGGUUAGGUUCAGAGCGGGGAGGAGGUGCGGCGGGUGUUUUGUCGUCUCAGCGGAGAAGAAGAGGAGGGUUUAGGAGGACGAGGGGGACGUGUAAAGAAGUACAGGGUCGUGAAGUUAGACGGUGGCGAAAAAUGAUCAUGGGUAGGACCCUUAUUAUUCCCUCCGGUUCUUAAUGUUCUUAGGCCGGGACGGCACGGCCUGCCACUACGAAGGCUACUACGGCUGCCAGAGUUGUACGGGUAGUCGGGUCUUUUGAUGACGGUGUCGCUCUCGCUCUCCCUCCUACACGACGAAGAACGAUCAGGGCGGCCGUUACCGGAACCGGACGUCCACCUUCCUCCUCCACUAGUUGACGUCGGUUGGUGGUGCGGGACGAGAGAAGGACUGCAACGACGUCCAAGUCUACGACGACGAGGACGAGGACGAAGGCCGCCUCAGCGACCGUUACGACGAGUCCGAGUCUUCUAUCCAACGCGCCGUUGACUCGGUGAACCAGUCCGCUUCCAGUCGUACGAACCACCUCCUCCGGGACAAAGAGUCGUCCCCAUUUAAUUGAUUUGUUCGACGCAUCAUACGACGACGACUACUACUACUACUACCGCUUUUUGAAUCAUACCAUCGAUUCAUUCUUCAACUACUACUGAACCUAGCUACUACUACUGCUUUUCCCACACCACUUAUGAAAGAUGAAUGAGACUAGGUACAUUCACCUCACCAUAAUGAAUUAAUCAUCGAUCCGUUACCUCAUUACUUGUACACACAUACCCACUCGUCACCACGACCAAUUAAGGUAGAACGAUUGAUCACACUCACACCACGAACAUUUUAUUUCACAACACAAAUUCGUUCGUCUCUGACUAUAAAGAACAAUCUUCUACUAAUUGGUCUCUGGCUGACUAUAUACUCUACCUACCCCAAACAACAACAACAACAACAACAACAACAACAACAACAACAACUGAAACAAACCGCGCGUCCACUACACUACUAUUCAUCAUUCUCCUUUCUCCAACCACAUCUCACAUCUCUAUCUACCUAACAACAACUCAACUCAAACCAUGGGUAGUCGUAGUCUGUAUAUCUCGAUCUAUCUAUCCGAUGACGAAACAAGUAGUAAUCAAUUAUAAUUGUCAUAUAUCAAACGGC